rnacentral:lncRNA from 1 species
AAAGUAUAUGAUCUUUAAGGUCCCUUCCAACCUAGGCAACUCUAUGGUUCUAUGAUGUGAUGAUUCUGUGAUUCUGUGUGCUGUGAAAUAGCUUUGACCAAAAUCACCUCACCCUGCACACCUGUGCCAUGCUGUUAAAGCACUUUCUGCCCUUUCAGGCAGAAGAGGGAAACUGGAACUCCUGGGUGAGUGCUAAAUAGUGCACAGACUUGGAGGGGCACCAUGAGCCUUGCAAGGAUAUGGACUAGAUGCCUAAGGAAAAGCUGAGGAUCUGGAAUUCCACACAAGCUUAGGCGUGAUCCAUAUGAUGGAGCAAUGUAGCCAAGCUGUGGGCUGACCGAGGUUUGCAUCACUGCCCUGACCCAGAUUGCAUCUGCAGUCAUCUGGAACUGACUACACGCCUGAACUGAUGAAAGAGGCUGUGGAAAUAUGGAUCUCUGGGGCCUUGGCAAGAUGCUUAUGCCAUAUUCACCUGUCCUCUGGAAGACAAAAGAGUGAGGAUCAGCAGUGUCAUUUAUUCUGCAAAAACUGAACAGAUGAGA